AAGAUAUGCUCUUCAUUUUGGCACAGACAAGUCAGAAGCAUGGUAAAUUGGUGAUCCUUAGCCAGAGUUUGAUGAAUAGAAAAUGAGUGAAGUAAGAGGUGACAUUGUCCAAAGAGAAAUGUAUGCUUUACCUGACUUAUGUAACUGUAACCCUCUGUACAUCAUUUUUAUAAUAACAAUUUAACUUUUUAAUAAAAUAGAAAGGUAGAUGGAUAAAUAUGUAGGAGGGUGAAUACAUGACUAAGCAAAUGAAUGCACAGGUAUUUUGAUGGAUAGAUGGAUAGAUGAUGGAUGGAUGGAUGGAUGGUGGAUGGAUGGUAACUUUCUGUUUGGAUAGGUAGAUGAAUGUGUGAGUGGAUGGCCAGAUGAAUUGAUGAUGAAAGUAGGCGAAUAGAUGAGUGAACAUAUAGACAAGGGGAUGAAUAGAUGUAUGGGCCGAAAGGUAGAUGGGUAGGUGGAUGGCUGGCAGGGUGGAUGAAAGAUGAGGAUGUCUGGAGGGAUAGACAGGUGUUUAUGU